UCUAACGAUAUAUAUUGCCAAAAACUUUAACAACUAAUAAUCAAAAAUUUCAGAUUAGUCAGUUACAAUUUUUUUUCUCAGAUUAGCAAAAAUAUGUUGAUGGGGACAUCGUCGUGGAACUAGUGAUAACAAAACUAUCAUGAUUUGUUUGAACAAAAAAAAAAAAAAAACUAUCAUGAUUUGUUUUCGAUGAAAUAUAAUCACUUGAAUAUAUUGUUAAUUAAACCAGCAAUAACAAAACAAACAUACGGUUAAUUUAUGUGGUUGACCAAAGAUUGUUACGGUUGUCGAGUUGACAAAAACAAGAAAUUAAACUUUCUGACAAUAAAAUGUGGUGUAAGCGAUUGUUUUUCUGUUCGUAAUAGUCAAAGUUUUGGUUCACUUUUA
rnacentral:lncRNA from 1 species